CCUACGGGAGGCUGCAGUGAGGAAUAUUGGUCAAUGGGCGGAAGCCUGAACCAGCCAAGUCGCGUGAGGGAUUAAGGCCCUGCGGGUCGUAAACCUCUUUUGCCGGGGAGCAGUGGUCCGGACGCGUCCGGACCGGGAGAGUACCCGGAGAAAAAGCAUCGGCUAACUCCGUGCCAGCAGCCGCGGUAAUACGGAGGAUGCGAGCGUUAUCCGGAUUCAUUGGGCUUAAAGGGAGCGUAGGCGGGCGUUCAAGUCAGCUGUAAAAUCGCGCGGCUCAACCGCGCCCCGCAGUUGAAACUGGACGCCUUGAGUUCACAACAGGCAGGCGGAAUUCGUGGUGUAGCGGUGAAAUGCAUAGAUAUCACGAGGAACCCCGAUUGCGAAGGUAGCCUGCCGGGGUGCGACUGACGCUGAGGCUCGAAGGUGCGGGUAUCAAACAGGAUUAGAUACCCUGGUAGUC
rnacentral:rRNA from 1 species